UACGGGGGGGGUAAGCGUUGUUCGGAAUUACUGGGCGUAAAGGGCUCGUAGGCGGCCAACUAAGUCAGACGUGAAAUCCCUCAGCUUAACUGGGGAACUGCGUCUGAUACUGGUUGGCUUGAGUGCAGGAGAGGAAAGCGGAAUUCCAGGUGUAGCGGUGAAAUGCGUAGAUAUCUGGAGGAACACCGGUGGCGAAGGCGGCGUUCUGGACUGUAACUGACACUGAUGAACGAAAGCCAGGGGAGCAAACGGG
rnacentral:rRNA from 1 species